rnacentral:lncRNA from 1 species
ACUGCGGUUGAAAGGCGGCGUGGGCGGCGGACCCGCGCUCUGCAGCCGAGCUGGUGCGGGGAGGGCUGCGCGCGGGGGCUGGCUGUGGAGCAGCACCGCAGUGAGGAGUUAGCCCAAGGAAAAUCAGAUUAAAGGAAACUGCCUAGAGAUGCCACUGCAGCGUGCCCGGGUAGUCCUGUUGGCAGCCUGCCCCUAUGCAGCUUUUGGCAAUACAGAACAGCUUCUUGGUAUUUGGAGAUUUUGUUUCUCGGGGGAAAUAAAUAAUACUGAUAACAUUAAGGAUUCAGAAAAUUUAAAGCAGACAGCCGACUUGCCGCGAAGACGCUUCGUUCUUCGCCUAAUAGCUACUUGGUGUCUUUACUUCAUUUGGCCAACACAUAACACUGCAGCUCUCCACGCCACUGUGGUAUAUCCACUUGUUAGAUAGUCCUGAGGUAGUUCUAGCCCAAGUGUUUCUGCUGAUCUAAUCUGGGGGGAAUUGGCGCGAGUAAUUAUUCUGUUACGAUUUUGCGCAAUACUUACUGAAUGAUAAACAUGUAUUUUCUCGUGGGGCGGGGCAGGGGCUCCCACGUGAGAAGGCUGUAACAGACAGACAGCAGCCACGAUGAAACACGCUGAAAAGAGCCAGCAGAAAAAAACGAGGAGAGACUGGUAUGACGGAGUGGAAUUCCGGUUGUGGAUGACAGAAUGGAAAUUUUACGCAAGAUGAAAGAGUUAAGACAAAUUACUCUAAAAAUAUCUGACUUAGUUGUUUCUAAACCCUGGGGCACCCUUAGGAAAAAAUAAAAAUAAAAAAACAAGUGCCUGGGCCUCAUCACUUGGUUGAAAAAGGUCUGCUGCCAGAUCUUGACAUUGAUAUUUUUCUAAGUUUCCAAAGUCAUUUUAAUGUGUAGACAAGAAGUUCUGUUUCUCAUUUGUAGGAAGAAUUUGGUUCCCCAUCACCUCAGAAAAGUAAUUAUGUAUCACAGACCGUUAACAGUUUUCCCAAUAACCAACUAUGCAUUCACCCUCUAAGAAUUUAUCUAAAUUAAUCUUGGGGCCAGGUGGGGGGGCUCACACCUGUAAUCCCAGCACUUUGGGAGGCCGAGGAGGGCGGAGUUCAAGACCAGCCUAGGCAACGUGGUGAAACCCCAUCUCUACUAAAAAAAACAUACAAAAAUUAGCCCGGCGUGGGGUUGCGCGCCUGCAGUCACGGCUACUCUACUCAGGAGGCUGAGGCAGGAGAAUCGCUUGAACCCGGGAGGCGGAGGUUGCAGUGAGCCGAGGUGGCGCCACUGCACUCCAGCCUCUGAUGGAGUGAGACUGUCACAAUCAAUCAUUCAAUCAAUCAAUAUUGAACCUACUUAAAGUUAUUCAACCUCUGUUAUCCUUUGCUUCAAAGGAGUUU